CAGGGCUUGACAUCCAACUAACGAAGCAGAGAUGCAUUAGGUGCCCUUCGGGGAAAGUUGAGACAGGUGGUGCAUGGUUGUCGUCAGCUCGUGUCGUGAGAUGUUGGGUUAAGUCCCGCAACGAGCGCAACCCCUAUUGUUAGUUGCUACGCAAGAGCACUCUAGCGAGACUGCCGUUGACAAAACGGAGGAAGGUGGGGACGACGUCAAAUCAUCAUGCCCCUUAUGAUUUGGGCUACACACGUGCUACAAUGGCGUAAACAAAGGGAAGCGACCUGGUGACAGUAAGCAAAUCCCAAAAAUAACGUCUCAGUUCGGAUUGUAGUCUGCAACUCGACUACAUGAAGCUGGAAUCGCUAGUAAUCGCGAAUCAGAAUGUCGCGGUGAAUACGUUCCC
rnacentral:rRNA from 1 species